UACGAAGGGGGCUAGCGUUGUUCGGAUUCAUUGGGCGUAAAGGGUGCGUAGGUGGCGCGGAAAGUCGGGUGUGAAAUUUCGGAGCUUAACUCCGAAACUGCAUUCGAUACUGCCGUGCUUGAGGACUGGAGAGGAGACUGGAAUUUACGGUGUAGCGGUGAAAUGCGUAGAUAUCGUAAGGAAGACCAGUGGCGAAGGCGGGUCUCUGGACAGUUCCUGACGCUGAGGCACGAAGGUCAGGGGAGCAAACGGG
rnacentral:rRNA from 1 species